rnacentral:lncRNA from 1 species
GGACUUUGGGGAGGAGCAAAGGGAGGCUCCGGCUGCCCCAGAUUGGCAGCAAAAAUAAACUGUCAAGUAGUAAAGAGAACUUGGAUGCCAGCAAAGAAAAUGGGGCUGGGCAGAUAUGUGAGCUGGCUGACGCCUUGAGUCGAGGGCAUGUGCUGGGGGGCAGCCAACCAGAGUUGGUCACUCCUCAGGACCAUGAGGUAGCUUUGGCCAAUGGAUUCCUUUAUGAGCAUGAAGCAUGUGGCAAUGGCUACAGCAAUGGUCAGCUUGGAAACCACAGUGAAGAAGACAGCACUGAUGACCAAAGAGAAGAUACUCGUAUUAAGCCUAUUUAUAAUCUAUAUGCAAUUUCGGAACUUCACCCGGAUGAAAUUGACACCGACUCUGCCUACAUUCUUUUCUAUGAGCAGCAGGGGAUAGACUAUGCACAAUUUCUGCCAAAGACUGAUGGCAAAAAGAUGGCAGACACAAGCAGUAUGGAUGAAGACUUUGAGUCUGAUUACAAAAAGUACUGUGUGUUACAGUAAAGCUACCACUCUGGCUGCUAGACAGCUUGGCGGUGAGGGAGAUGACUCCUUGUAGCUGACAUUUGGCAAAAGCGUCACUGAAAGGCAAGCUAAAUGUAGUUAUUUUAUCCUGUGGCCCUGAAGCACAAAAUAAAAAUUCUAAUU